rnacentral:tRNA from 1 species
AAUUUGAUAAUCUAAUUUAAGAUAAUAAAUUGUAAAUUUAAAAAUGUUUCUAACUCAAAUUU